ensembl:snoRNA U3 Small nucleolar RNA U3
CUGGUAACACUUCCAUGCACCGUUGCUACAGUUCUUACCAGAGAAGUUUCUUUGAACAUGUGGAACACCGGAAACCAUGAGGAGGAGGUUCAGCAUUCACUCCUGAGCAUGCAGCCAGCUCUUGGGGGUGCUUCUCUGCAGCUUGCCUUUUACACUGACCAUCACUCUUCUCUUCCUAUGGGAGAAUGAAAGGGAAAGGAUGCCAUUUGAAGGGU